CCUACGGGAGGCAGCAGUGGGGAAUCUUGCGCAAUGGCCGAGAGGCUGACGCAGCGACGCCGCGUGGGGGAUGAAGCAUUUCGGUGUGUAAACCCCUGUUGCUCGGGACGAACGACCGGUUUCGACCGGUGUGACGGUACCGAGUGAGGAAGCACCGGCUAACUCCGUGCCAGCAGCCGCGGUAAUACGGAGGGUGCGAGCGUUGUCCGGAAUCACUGGGCGUAAAGGGCGCGUAGGUGGUUAGAUGCGCCGGUGGUGAAAGCGCAGGGCUCAACCCUGCGUCGGCCAUCGGGACGGUCUGACUGGAGCACUGUAGAGGCAGGUGGAAUUCCGGGUGUAGCGGUGGAAUGCGUAGAGAUCCGGAAGAACACCGGUGGCGAAGGCGGCCUGCUGGGCAGUUGCUGACACUGAGGCGCGACAGCGUGGGGAGCAAACAGGAUUAGAUACCCUGGUAGUCCACGCCGUAAACGAUGGGCACUAGGUGCUUGGGGGAGCGACCCCCUGAGUGCCGACGCUAACGCAUUAAGUGCCCCGCCUGGGGAGUACGACCGCAAGGUUGAAACGUCAAAGGAAUUGACGG
rnacentral:rRNA from 1 species